GUCCUAGCCGUAAACGUUGGGUGCUAGGUGUGGGAGGACAUCGACCCCUUCCGUGCCGAAGCUAACGCAUUAAGCACCCCGCCUGGGGAGUACGGCCGCAAGGCUAAAACUCAAAGGAAUUGACGGGGCCCGCACAAGCGGCGGAGCAUGCGGCUUAAUUCGAUGCAACGCGAAGAACCUUACCUGGGUUUGACAUGCAGGGUGAAACCGUUGAAAGACGGCGCUCUUCGGAGCCUGCACAGGUGGUGCAUGGCUGUCGU
rnacentral:rRNA from 1 species